rnacentral:rRNA from 1 species
UGAAUGAAGAAGGUCUUCGGACUGUAAAAUUCUGUUAUUUGUGGAAGAAAGGUAGUUGGAGGAAAUGCCAAUUACUUGAUGGUACCAAAUGAGAAAGCCCCGGCUAACUAUGUGCCAGCAGCCGCGGUAAUACAUAGGGGGCGAGCGUUAUCCGGAAUUAUUGGGCGUAAAGCGUGCGUAGGUGGUCAGUUAAGUCUGGCGUGAAAUUCCCUGGCUUAACCAGGGGGGGUCGUUGGAAACUGGCUGACUUGAAUCCAGAAGGGGUAAGUGGAAUUCCAUGUGUAGCGGUAAAAUGCAUAGAGAUAUGGAGGAACACCAGUGGCGAAGGCGGCUUACUGGUCUGGGAUUGACACUGAGGCACGAAAGCGUGGGUAGCAAACAGGAUUAGAUACCCUGGUAGUCCACGCCGUAAACGAUGAGCACUAAGUGUCGGACGAAAGUUCGGUGCUGUAGUUAACGCAUUAAGUGCUCCGCCUGGGGAGUACGGUCGCAAGACUGAAACUCAAAGGAAUUGACGGAAGGGCGAAUU